CUCCCCCAAACCCCCCAGUAUAUAGUUGAGCAUUUCUAGUUGUGGGUCCCUCUAGUUGUGGCAUGUGGGGUGCCACCUCAGCAUGGCUUGAUGAGCAGUGCCAUGUCCACACCCAGGAUUCAAACCGGUGAAACCCUGGGCUGCCAAAGCGGAGCACACGAACUUAACCACUCAGCCAUGGGGCCGGCCCCUGAAUAUAUUUUAAAUGGCUGGAGUGUAUGAGAGUUCCACUGGUACUGCUAUCAUAUCAUAUAGGGACAUUAGUCUUCUUCUGCACUUGGACUGAAACUUACACCAUCAGCUCUCCUGGUUCUCAGGCCUUCAGACUUGGACACAAACUAUACCACUGGCUAUCCUGGGCCUCCAGUUUGCAGACAGCAGAUUGUGGGACAUCUCAGCUUCCAUAAUUGCAUGAGCCAAUUAGUUAUUUAUUUAUAAUAAAUUAAUAUAUAAUCAAA
rnacentral:lncRNA from 1 species